UGAUGAGGAAUGAUUCAACUCCAAGAGAGACAGCAUGGAAAGGCCACUACCAUGAUCUGAAUUCUGUUAAUUCUGCUUUUUUUUUUUGCAUGGAUAUUAUGAUGCUUUUAUGUCUGUUGGUUCUGUAAAAACUCUCUUUUACAGAGCAAAUUUCUGUUAAUGUAUAUGUUACAGUAUACCUGUACAUUUAGUCAGUUACAGAAAAUAUACCUGUACAUUUAGUCAGUUACAGAAAAUAUACCUGUACAUUUAGUCCGUUACAGUAUACCUGUACAUUUAGUCAGUUACGGAAAUAAUGGAAAAUAAAUCUUUCAAAGUCCAGUUACAGAAAAUAUAGUCAGUUUCUCUGCCUCCGUGUAGUGAAACAAAAAAAAUCAUGGUGUUGCUCUGAAUUAUAUAAGCCUGUUGAUGUGUUUGUUUGUAUUAGACAUAUUUAUUAUCUUGUUGUGAAUUAUAUAAGACAGAAUUAUAUAAGCUUAGUUUUUAUUUUGUAUUAUGAUGUAUUUAGAGUUGAAAUGAUGUUUAUUCUGUUGUAGUUAUAUAUUACUCCCUCCGUUUUUAAAUAUAAUAUUCAUGCCUCCACAUACGGCUUUCCGGCCACAGAGCGCAAGGCACGAUGGACCGGCUCGUCUAACGACCACAUGCAUGGAAUUAGGCGGCCAAUUUAACGACGGCUAGGAGGCAAUCUUAGGUGGAGCGCAAGGCACGAUGGACCGGCUCGUCUAACGACCACAUGCAUGGAAUUAGGCGGCCAAUUUAACGACGGCUAGGAGGCAAUCUUAGGUGGAUGCGCGGCGCAACAGCCCAGUGGGUAGUGAAUAGGAUUUCUCCGUUGAGGCGGCAUCGGAAAGGAGAUGUCAAGAUUGCAGCUAGGGUGUGGAUUUAC
rnacentral:lncRNA from 1 species